CCUAUAAAAAGGGACUGGAACAGGCCUACAGUAGCAACAACUUGAUUGUCUUACAAACCGACAACCAAAGUAACAUAGAAACACCAAAAAGUUUUUUUUUUAAUUUUGCAGCUUUACAAGCAGUUAUACAAAAUGAACAAGAUGGUCUGUCUCGGGUGUUUGGCUCUUGCCUCAUGUAUCGGUAUGGCUGUUGGUUAUGGCAGUGUUAUGACAGGGCAGAAAAAGUUCACAGCUUAUCCCUAUAUGGCUAACAUGGGUUCCAUGGGCUAUGGGUAUGUGCCUCACAUGGCGGGACCUUCAGGGUUCGGAGGUUUUCUUGGCGGUGCCGGAGGCUCGUCUGGGGGCAUGGGCGGAAUGUUUGGAAGUAUAAUUCAAUGUAAGUAGUCCGGUUACACUUAGCAUCUUAAAAAUACAUUUGUGAUAAGUCAUUUUGUCGAAUUUAUGAAGAUAUCUUUUCCUUGUAGAUUAGAAUAUUGUUUGGGUUCGUUUUUUUUCUUUCUUUCUUUCUUUUUUAAAUUGCAUUUAGGUUCAAACACGUGAAUCUUUCUAAUAGGUAUUUAUACAUAGUACAACAGUUUUUAGAGUUGUGGAAAAUAAAUUGUCGUUGUUUUCCUGGUUUCAGUGUUCCUUUUUAUUUUUGUGAUCAACAUCUUGUUCUCGACUCUGGGCUCUGGUCUUGGAUCUGGCGGUCUUAAUAUCGGCAAGAAAUCCUCAUAUGCUGGCACUCACGGCGACAACUACUAAAUGUAGUAAAUGUAGUAACAGGAAAAUCAGAUGAAAAAUCAGUUCAUCAAACGAAGCAGGCGUUUCCACAAACAGCGAAUUCAAUUGUGAUGUAAAAUGUAAAAAAAAAAAAUAGUAAAGUUAAUAAAAAAAUAGUAAAACAUUA